rnacentral:tRNA from 1 species
GCCUCUUUAGCUCAGCUGGUAGAGUACGUGAAUCGUAAUCUCGGGGUCGUUGGUUCGAAUCCGACAAGAGGCU